rnacentral:snRNA from 1 species
GUUCUUGCUUCAGCAGAACAUACACUAAAAUUGGAAUGAUACAGACAUUAGCAUGGUCCCUGGACACAGAUGAUAUACAAAUUCAUGAAGCAUUCCAUAUUUUU